rnacentral:rRNA from 1 species
AUGCAGUCGAACGACAUGGUAAUACAUGGAGUGGCGAACGGGUGAGGAACACGUGGGAAUCUUUCCUUCAGUGGGGAAUAACUUUUGGAAACAAAAGCUAAUACCGCAUGAAACCUGAAAAGGGAAAGGUAGAAUGUUUACGAAUAUUCUAUCGCUGGAGGGUGAGCCCGCGCCUGACUAGGUAGUUGGUGGGGUAAUGGCCUACCAAGCCAAUGAUCAGUAGCUGGUCUGAGAGGAUGAUCAGCCACACUGGGAUUGCGAUACGGCCCAGACUCCUACGGGAGGCAGCAGUGGGGAAUAUUGGACAAUGGGCGAAAGCCUGAUCCAGCAACGCCGCGUGAGUGAUGAAGGCCUUCGGGUUGUAAAGCUCUUUUGAUAGGGAAGAUAAUGACUGUACCUAUAGAAUAAGUCCCGGCUAACUUCGUGCCAGCAGCCGCGGUAAUACGAAGGGGACUAGCGUUGUUCGGAAUGACUGGGCGUAAAGGGCGCGUAGGCGGUAAAGUAAGUGAUGCGUGAAAGUCCUGGGCUUAACCUAGGGAGUGCGUCUCAUACUGCUUUGCUAGAGGACAGG